rnacentral:rRNA from 1 species
CUGGUUGAUCCUGCCAGAGGCCACUGCUAUCGGGGUUCGAUUAAGCCAUGCGAGUUGAGAGGGUUAAGACCCUCAGCGGACUGCUCAGUAACACGUGGAUAACCUGCCCUAAGGUGGAGAAUAACCCCGGGAAACUGGGGAUAAUACUCCAUAGAUUAGAGACACUGGAAUGGUCUUUAAUCGAAAGCUCCGGCGCCUUAGGAUGGAUCUGCGGUCGAUUGGGUUGUUGUUGGGGUAACGGCCCAACAAGCCUGUGAUCGAUACGGGUUGUGGGAGCAAGAGCCCGGAGAUGGAAUCUGAGACACGAUUCCAGGCCCUACGGGGCGCAGCAGGCGCGAAAACUUUACAAUGCAGGAAACUGUGAUAAGGGAACCCCGAGUGCCCGUAUACGCGGGCUGUCCAGGUGUUUAAAACGCAUCUGAAGAAAGGGCCGGGCAAGACCGGUGCCAGCCGCCGCGGUAAUACCNGGCGGCUCGAGUGGUGGCCACUUUUAUUGGGCUUAAAGCGUCCGUAGCUGGACUCUUAAGUCUCUUGGGAAAUCCGCCGGCUUAACCGACGGGCGGCUAAGAGAUACUGUGAGUCUAGGGACCGGGAGNAGGUGAGAGGUACUCCGGGGGGGUAGGAGGUGAAAUCCCUGUAAUCCCCGGGGGGACACCCCAUGGGCGAAGGCAUCUCACCAGAACGGGUCCC